rnacentral:rRNA from 1 species
GACGGGUGAGUAACACGUAAAGAACUUGCCCUGCAGUCUGGGACAACUAUUGGAAACGAUAGCUAAUACCGGAUAUUAUGCGAGAGCCGCAUGGCUCUUUCAUGAAAGCUAUAUGCGCUGCAGGAGAGCUUUGCGUCCCAUUAGUUAGUUGGUGAGGUAACGGCUCACCAAGACCGCGAUGGGUAGCCGGCCUGAGAGGGUGAACGGCCACAAGGGGACUGAGACACGGCCCUUACUCCUACGGGAGGCAGCAGUGGGGAAUAUUGGACAAUGGGUCGACGCGGCCG